rnacentral:rRNA from 1 species
UACGAAGGGAGCUAGCGUUGUUCGGAAUUACUGGGCGUAAAGGGCGCGUAGGCGGCUAUGUAAGUCAGAUGUGAAAGCCCCAGGCUUAACCUGGGAACUGCAUUUGAUACUGCGUAGCUAGAGAUCGAGAGAGGAAAGUGGAAUUACGAGUGUAGAAGUGAAAUUCGUAGAUAUUCGUAGGAACACCAGUGGCGAAGGCGACUUUCUGGCUCGAUACUGACGCUAAAGCGCGAAAGCGUGGGGAGCAAACAGG